CUUAAUCAAAUCACAAGGCAGUUGGAAAUUCAGUCUAGACUAGAUGGAAUAGGGUUAUAGGCUAGAUGGAAAGCUAAAUGCAUUAAAUAAAAACAAGCAAACACAAACAAAAAAGAAGAUUCAUUUGCUGGAAAAUGCAACUAAACAAAUUUCUGACCAGAAACAGGUUAAAAAGAUCAACUUACAAAACUCUGAAGACAGUGAGUGUGAAACAGGCAGAGCUGCUAUUUUUAGAAGACCAGAGCUUUCCUGGCAUGCAGAGCCUUGACAUGGCACAAGUUGAGCCAGUCACUUUGUCAGAUGAAACCAUUGAUGGGUCUCACUCCAGUUACAGCUUGACUGUGAUUACUGCCUUGUCUUUCAUCCUGCCUGCUCCAGUUUUGCUCUCUGUGUCACCAGAUACCUGUUGGAGAAGGGUGGCUUGCCAUGCAUUCCUGCCCUUUUUAUAGGGAAUUUGAAAGAACUACAGCAAGGUCAUCUCUACCCUGCAGCAAUAUUUAAAAAGCUGUGUUGGACUGAAUACACCCACUGUCAUCUUCUCUUGGAAACUCAGUUCCUCCUGGGAGUGUCCAGCACUGAAAAGUAAGACCACUUGGAAAUCCAAGUUGCUGGAGGCACAUGCCAGAGUUCCUUGGUUGCACUUAUAUUAGACCACAGAAAAAUUCUUCCAGUGGCUGCAAUAAUCAUCCAGCCCAAUUUCUACUGCCAAGCUGACAAAAAGGACUUAAAAGCAGUGAAAAUGUUGCUUAGCAUGGUGGAACUCACAUCUGGAUGAAGCUCCAAAUGUGCCUUAAAAAAUAUUCUAUUUCACCAGGGAAAUGCCUGAGGUGCCCAGAUUUGCCUGUGCCUUGGUUGGUCACCUCUGGCCAAUGCUACCAGGGAGCCAGGUGCAGAGAACAGGAGCCUCCCAGCCAGAUUUUGCAGCCUGAAUUUAUUUCAUCUUCACUCCAGCACAGCAGGAUGACCUCACCCGUACAUACCUGCUGCUCACUGCCUCCCUGCUUUGGAGGAUGAAGACCUAAGGUGCUUUUGUUCGUAAAAAGCACAAAAUUUAAUUGUUUUUCUCCCCUUGCUGUUUAACAGUUUUAAUUAAAAACCUUCUGUAACUGAGUUUAGGCCUCUGAGCUCCAGUCUUUUCAUAGCACCCCUUGUAACACAUUUUUCAAGCUCUGUAUUUUCACUGAAACAGGGCAGGUGGUAGAAAACUGAGGUGUUAUCACAAAAAAAUAGGUUUACAACAAAGAAAAGAAAAAAGCUGAAUAAAGUUUCCAGCCUGAUCCAAGAGAAAGAAUGAAUGUAUCACCACAGCAAGCCUCCUGCAGAUGGUGAAAAGUAUCUCAAUUCAAUAAUACAAUAAAAUUAAAAAGUGCAUCUGUAGAUUUUCCCAUUUGGUUAACUCCGGAACACCAUUUCUGCUUGUUUUGGCUGCUUUUUAUUCCUGCCUUUGAGUGUAAAGAAACGGUAAGGAAGUUUAUGAAUGAGGUCCUGCUCACAUUCCAGACUCUGCUAUGUACACGAGCUCUUUUCUGCCGGGAUCCUGGGAUGAGAUCAUUCCAAAACCACCUCGUUUGCCCACUGUGCUCACUCAAAAAAGAUUCAAAUGGACAGAUUUGCACUUUCGGCAAUGCAAACACACAUACAGUAGUUUUCCUGCAUGCCAGCAUCCACCAAACUCCUGGAAUAAAUGAAAGGAAAAAAAAAAAAAAGAAGAAAGGAAAAAAAAACCAGUCCUUUUUCCACUACCAAAGGCUGUUUAUAAAAUCAGUUUGAUCAGCUCAGGAAUGAGCUGAGAUAAUGUUUAUCCACACAAACACUGAAGAUCAUGCAACUAUCUUGACAUGCCAAGCUAAGAUAACUACUGGGCUGAAAAAAAAAAGAGGUUAGAACAACAGGAAAUUACUCAUUUACUACCAGUUGCUCAGGUAUUUUAAAGAGCUCCCAGAACAUUUGCUUUUGUGUACCUAAGAGAGAAAAAAAAGCCUCUGAUGGUGGGGGAAGCCCAGAUGGGUAACAUAAAAGUGACUUUCCUUGCUGAAAGAGCAAAGGCAGGAGAAGGGGGUUGUGACAAGAGGAUAUAAAAUACCCUGCAAUUCAUCAGCAAGGAGAAUCAAACUCUGCCGGAGCGAUCGGCAUUCCUGGGGAUUAUGGAAAGGAUUACGAGCAGCUGGCCAGCCCGUGCGGAGGAAAAGCCAUUUAUUGAAGAGGAAAGAAAAAUAGGCAGUGAAAAUAAAAAUGUUUGCAUUCCCUAAAAAUAUACUUCAAGCCUUCCGAGGGGGAAAUCAAUUAUCCACAAGGGCAUCCUGCUGUCGGGGAGAAAAAUCUAAGGCAUUUUCCAGCUCGGCUGCCCUGGGUUAGCUGAUCUCUCUGUCAGAUGGGUCUCAUCACCGCGGCGUUUGGUGCCUCUGAGUCUUUCAUGUGUUUAAUCUCACAACCCACCUGUGAGAAGAGGAAUUACAGUGAAGGAGCUGAGGAAAGGGCCCAGACUUUUAAAGGGAUUUAGCUGCCCAAUUACCUGGCUCAGGGUUAGGCUGGAAAUCCCCAGGAGAGAAGGAUGUUGCACCUGGGUCUGCCAAGCCCCGGGUCAAUGCAGUUCUCAGUAGCAAUGCCCACUUGGACCUGGGACAAGGGAGAGCUCAGUGCCCCCGUGAAUGGGCCCUUGUUUCUCCCUUGAUUAUUGUUGAGAAAGAUUUUGAGCCCGAAAGGAAAUAAAUAAAUAAAUAAUCAGAGUCUGAGUUCAGAGCAUGAAGAGCAAUUCUUUCUCCCGAGGCUGAGCAGGGUCUCACAGCAUUGCUGCUUGUGUUUAUUUUCAGGGAAAGGAUUUACAAUUAACUUCCAAGUGCCAUGAAGGAGUAGAGCUCCUCUCCUGGGUCAUGAUUUUGCUGCCUCCU